CACCGAGGCUCUGCCGGGCUUUCACCGCCGCUCCUCGGGGGCUGGUGUCGGCCGGUUGCGGAGGAGCCGCUCGGUUGUUUUCACCCCUUGCACUGGUUCCGCUGCCGGCCUUCAGGGGAGGGGAUGCACCUGACCCUCACCCUGCUCCCUGCUAGCCCAGGGAGCGGUGAGCGGAGCCCGGCGGGGUGCGGUGAGGACACGCAUCUGGGAGGGCACCGCCGCUGCCUUCACCCGGCCUCCGGCUUUCCCCGCAGGGAGAACGGGUAGGAGCUGCUGCAGAUGGAGAACGUGCACAAGUUACUACACUAUCUGUUGAUAAGAUUGAUGCAGGCAGCUUGGGCCUGAUGAUGAUUCAUUGAUGAUCAAGUGCAACAAACAGCUCUAUUGUUUUUCCAAUGACAGAACUUUUCAGAUUAAAAGAAGAAUGAUUAGCUUGAAGAAACCAAUAGCAAUUUAACAGAAAUACCUUAAGGAUGUUUGUCAAGAUAGAUACUGAUGCCACUAAAACCUUUUGAUUGUCCAGCUGGUUUUGAUAGGUGCUCUGCUGAAUAUCACAACAGGAACCAAGGUGAAAAGGGGGGAAGAGUAUCUGGUAUUGCCAUUUUGUCACUCUGAAUAAAUGUUAUGUAGUUUUAGUCCAGUGCAUAUAGUCAUCCUAAUGCAACUAUAAACGCUGCAGCAUGGACAUGGGAGCUGUUCAUGUGAGAGCAGAAAGAAUGCUUUGGAUAAGGGAAAUGAAACAUGUCUCUUGGGCAUUAACAGUCUGUAUACUUGGGACUGCAGUUAAUAUGUAAUCAAUUAACUUCCCUGAUGGUUCAGAAGUACACCAACUCUUACCAGGCCUAAGAGUUUAUGUCUUAGUUGCUUUCUUGAAGUACUGAGCAUUAAAACACCCCACUACUAAACCAAACACUUCCCAGCAGUAUUGCUUUAGUUCGCUUGAGCAGCAUUCAUGGUUGUUCUGUGUUUAUUUACCAAAACCCAUCCAGCAAUUGAAUUUUACUCACAGGAAUAUUCACAAAAUUUAAAAAAAAUCUGCACUUUGGAGAGCAUUGAUGCUAAAAGUGGUACUUUUCCCACAUAUGACAGAUGAGGCAGGGACACAGAAGCAGGAAUGCAUAGGAAGAGCUGAUGCUACCAGAUCCAGUUCUACUCGUUUUUGCCUGGCCUGCCUUUGCCAGGGGCACUAGUGUUUGGCACCUGGCAUGUCUGUAAUUGUGCUGACAUGGGGCUUUUCAGGACGAACAUGGUAAACUUUUCCUCUGAUGGCUAGGGGGGUCAGUAAAUGCACUAAACAUUUCCUUCUGACUGGAGUUUGACUUCAAAAUGGACAUGGAAGCCAAAAGGAAAAGAUAUGCUGUACAAGUGAGAGCACAAGUUUACAUUAACUAACUUUCUCCACCUGUUCAUUCCUAAUUGCAAGACUCUUAUACAGUAUAUUCUUUAACUGCCAGUUAAGAUGCUUACACUCAAAUCACAAUCAUUAUUGAUUCCUUCUCACACAGACAAUUAUCCAUAAUGGGUGUUCACAGUAACACCACGCUACAAACCUGGAUGUCAGAUAAGAAUGCCACACUGUACAGUCAGUCCAAAGCCCAGUUUCAGUCCAAACAACAAGUCACAAAAAUAAUAAUCUGACACUCACCAAACAGUUGGUUUGGUUCAAUUUAGAAAAUAGAAAGAAGAAUCUCAAAAAAAAUAGUAACUAUUAUUAGUCACAUACGUUUCCUUAAAUAUAAUGGAAGAGGACAGACCAACGUCCAUGAAUGUUGCAUAACCUUCAAUAAGACAUCAGAAUUAAUUCAUACAUCUAUCAGCUUUUACAUGUUAGGGCAUACUUUUUGUAAGGAGUAUUGUUAAACUUAUUUUAAGAAGCACCAAGUACAUAAAGGGGAUAUCUGGGCAUACAGAAUUACAAGUACUACUAUUCUGUUUAGAUUUAAAGCUAACAUCUCCCCAAAAAUCAGACUUAGUUACUUGGAGCAACUAACAAUGAGGGGGUUGGGUGAGGGUUGUUUUGGCAUCUGUGUCAGAUUAUGUAUCCCUUGUCUGUUAAGAACUUUCUAACGUUCUCAAGUUUCAAUGAUUUUGCUGACUUAGCAAAGCUGGUCUCCUACCUAUGUGCUCUUAUUCCUCUGUUGUAUAUAGUGUAACAGAACUUUUGAGUUCAACCCCUAAGCAGCUACUGGGAUCAAUGGAAGCUGGAGGAGAAAAUGAUAGAAAUAUAGAAAAAUUUGGAUUCUGUGGAUAUCUGACAUUGCGGUCAGAUACCCAGCAGCUUCAAGUGCCUUUGUAACUGAAGGCAGAUGGAUGUCUCAGGUUUUGCCAGCCAGCCAGUAACACCUUCCAGAGAAAUAGUAGUUUCAUCAUCUCCCUAUUGAUGUGUACUGUGCAGUUUUUAAACAUCAGCAUCCUGAAUGACCUAAAAAAAAAAAAAGAAAAAAAAAUGUUUGAGGGAAGUCGGAAAAGAGAAAUGCAAACAUAAAAGUAGGGAAUGGAAGUACUUUCUGUGGGAAUGAGGGUAAGAAAGAACCACCUAGAACACAUACAGAAACCUUGGCAAGGAGUUAAAAAUUAAGGAUACUGGACUGGGAUUCUAGGAAAAAGGGCAGGGAGAUCUUGAGAGGGAAGUGGACAGGAGGCAGGAGAUUUCAGGAAAUCUUUAAAAAGAAUGAGAAUGGAAAAUGGCACACUGGCACCUCAAGAAGUCUCUGACAAAUGCAUUGCUCAGCACCUUCAGCAACCGCAAAGUGAAUGACAGAAUCCCUUUGAUGUGAGGUUUGAAAAACUAUGAAUUUACCAUAGUAUUAUCAAGGAGUAUCUACAAGAAGGACUAAAAGAGAAAAAGAAAGAUAUUUUACAAAAGCUCAGUAGGCUGCCUUGCCUUUGAAGGGAAGGAAAGAGAGUUUGGCUCUUUCCUGGUAAACAAUGAACAAUUUAAAUAUUGGACUGAAGUUCACCUUUCUAAUCAACUGUAACACCUGUGCAGUGCAGUAAUUAAACAAAGCAUUGGGUUGUC